CCUGAUGUCAUGGGGAACUGACAUUACCUCCCUGCUAACCAGAUCUCCUCAUCACUCUUCAGAAGUCAGGUUUCCCAUUUUAGGAAUCUCUCCUGGGACUCAAGAGAAAUGCUUCAGUAAUCUUUUGUUCCAUAGCCAGAGGUUGCUCUCUGAUUUUUUGGAAAUUCCUCAGUACUUCCAUGUGGGAAUGAAAGGGACAACAUCACCUCAAUACAGGAUUUGGGAAGGCUCUGAUCAGUCUGGAGGAGGCAGGAAGUUCCUGAACACCCUGGAUAUCUACAGUUGCUGGUCUAUAACCAGGACCAGUGAUUUUUCAUUUGAUGUCUUUCUUCCACAAGACUUAGUAACAGGUCAAAUGGUUUUUACCUGGGAAGCACUAUGGUGUAUCUUUAGUUCUUCUAGUAUCAGGUCUCUUGAAUACCUGGUUGAAUCACUAGGGGCUUACAGAAAAUGGCUAUAAAGCAAGCAAGAGAAAUAGAAAUCAGAGUUAUUUGGGUUUGUAGGAAAGACACCAAAUGGCUGAAAUGUCUACUGAGGGUGUUCAAUGUUCCUAGCUUAUUUAAAAUUUUCUCUUUCAUGUUACUUAUAACCAUGAAGCAUAACAAUGAUGCUGGGGCAGUGUGAGUAUUACUUUUUUAUUACUCAUAUAAUUACUCAAACUAGAGUCCAUGGGAAGAAGGAGCCUCAAUAAGGAAUUGUUUGGAUUAAGUUGACUUUGAGCACAUCUGUUGGUGAUUUAUAGAUUGUUAAUUAGAUGGAGGUCUCACCCUAAAGUAUGCAGAACCACUUCAUCACUGGGACCUGAACUGUGUAACAGUGAAGAAGCUGGAGCAUAUGCAGAGGCAAGCAGGCUGCAUGGCUGCAUUUCCAUCUCUCUGCUCUUGACAGUGGAUGUGAAGUGACUGAGUUCCUGCCUUCAUAUCCCCCAAAAUGGACUAUUACCUGGACCUGUGGGCUAAAAUCAAUUCUUGUCCUGCUGUGCUUGGGAAAUUAAUAUAAAGAAGAUGCUAAGAAACCACUAUGUGACACAGGGGUUUGCACAAGUCAGGGAGAUGUGAAAGUAAUUCAUGACAUGCUCAACAGCAGCAUAUCUGUCCAAAAGCAGGAGAUCCUGUUUUUUCCUGAACCCAACAUAUGUUUCCCUAUCACAGAUUUAUAAAGAGACACCCAUUGACUCAAACAGCAUCACCUUGUCAAACAAUGGCUCUGGGUAGUGUCUUGCCCUCUCAAGUGCUGUUCUAAAUUUUGUUUUGUUUUGU